UAUUCUCAUAUCACACGAUACUAGUCAGGGACAAGGAAAAGAUAAAGGAAAAUGGGAAGCAGAAAGGUUGUGUUGUUCUUGAUGGUGUUUCUUGCAGUCUGUAUGGUGACAUGCAGGCCUUGGGAUGACGAUCUGGGUAAGGAUACCAAAGCCAAAGCAGAGGACGCAAAGAACUUUGCCUCCGGCGUGCUGCAUAAUGCCGAGGAUAAAACGCCGUCUUUCUCUGAAAGCUUCGGGGCUGAAGAGGAUAAAGAAAAACAACCGACUGAAAACAUGAUGAAUAAUGUAGAAGAUGUUGCCACGAGUGCCGCAGGGACAAUGAAGUCUGCAGCAUCAGGAGCUUCGGAUUAUGCUUCCGAGAAGGCUACGGAUGCCGUGGAAGCAGUUUCAGGGGCCAUGGCACAAGGAAAGGAGAAAAUGAACGACGCUUAUGAUGAAGAUGGCAAGGUCAUCAAAAUGCCAACAGAUAUUGAUAAUGGAAGAGACAAAAUGAGAGAAAAAAUUGGAGACACCUACGACGAUGCGAAGGAAAAAAUUCAGACUGCUUCAGAUAAGGCUUCAAGUGUGGCUCACAAUGCCAAAGAUAACAUGGAUGAGUCCAUAGAAUAUGUAAAAGAUAGAGCAGGCAAUGCCUAUGACGAAGGUAAGCAGAAAAUGAACCUGGCAUCAGAGAAAUUCUCCGAUACUAAAGCAAGUGAGGUUUAUGAUGAAGCUAGGGAUAAAGUGAAAGGAGCAAUGGAUUGUGGAAAUAUGGAUGUGGAUGGCUUCGAUGAGGCCAAUGAUUCUAAAGAUAACAUAGGCGUGCGAAAUGAAUAUGGAAGGGACAAAGUAGCCGAAACUUUUGACCAGGCUAAACGUGAAGUGGAGGAAGCAUACGCAUCAGCAAAGAAUACAAUGACUGAAGAGGCAAACGCUAAGUACGAGGCUGCAAAGGAGAAGGCUUCAGAUGCUGCAGGAGAUGUCGGAGCUAAGAUGAGAAACACCCCAAACCAAUGAACCUUUGUUUCUCAUUUUUGUUACAAGAAGAGAUCGUGAACAUGUAAAAGGUGCAUGGUUUAAUAAAGGAAUCAUGGGAAUAGUCUCUAGCACACACCAUAUUUACUCUACGUGUAGCGUUGCUUAUAUUUACGAAGCUCUGGAGGUACACCAAAAUUUGAGCACUUCUGAAAAUAACGAGUAUAAAUAUAGACUGAAUGUUAUGAAAGAUUAGAUACCCCAAAGGAGGUGCAUGACAAAAUCUUUCAUGAUUGAUUUUACUUUUUCAAUUUAUGGGCGUUUCUUAUGAAAUCUACAUGAUUAUUGCGCUUAAUGCUUGUAUUUUUAACCCUUAAUCUCAAACUAUUGAACCUAUCACUGAUUUUUUAUUCUUCA